CUUCCCGAGCGCGCCGCCUCCUGAUUGGCUGCCAGAGCUCUGGUCUUGUCUCGCGCUUCCUGGACGGGCCAAUGGAGUUACCCGUAGUCUAAAGGCCAGGAUCGCUGGAGUGGUGGCGCAGCUGUUUCCUUCGGAUAUACAUCAAAUUUUAAGAAGAAAGAAAAUCAGGAGCUAAGGAUUCUGUUUAAACCUAUAGUUGCUGCUCAGAAAAUAAGGAUGCAGACUCCAAAUUGUUGGUUUACAUGUGCUUCAAGCAAGAGCAGUAUACUAAAGGAGAGAAGUAAGCUGUGUUGAUCAGUGACUUUGGUGAAAACUGAGAUAACUGAAACGAAUUUGCAGAUGAUACAUGACUUCUAAGGUGAGGCAGAACAUCAUAGCAAGAAGUCUUGGAGAAGGAGAGCUGCUGCAUUCAUGGCAGCCAGGAAGCAGAGGAGGAGAAAGAAGAAGGGAACACAAGGGAAGAGACAUACUUCCAUGGCAUAGCCCCAGUGAUCCACCACCUCCAGCUAUGCUCUGCCUGCCUACAGAUAGACCAUUCAAACUAGGGUGGACUAGCAGGUAUGGUGGUGCAGGUUUAUAAUACCAGCAAUUUG